rnacentral:rRNA from 1 species
UUGAACGCUGGCGGCAUGCCUUACACAUGCAAGUCGAGCGGCAGCGCGGGGGGCAACCCUGGCGGCGAGCGGCGAACGGGUGAGUAAUACAUCGGAACGUGUCCUGUAGCGGGGGAUAACCUCUCGAAAGAGAGGCUAAUACCGCAUACGACCUACGGGGUGAAAGCGGGGGACCGCAAGGCCUCGCACUAUAGGAGCGGCCGAUGUCGGAUUAGCUAGUUGGCGGGGUGGUAAAAGCCCACCAAGGCGACGAUCCGUAGCUGGUCUGAGAGGACGAUCAGCCACACUGGAACUGAGACACGGUCCAGACUCCUACGGGAGGCAGCAGUGGGGAAUUUUGGACAAUGGGGGCAACCCUGAUCCAGCCAUGCCGCGUGAGUGAAGAAGGCCUUCGGGUUGUAAAGCUCUUUCGGCGGGGACGAAGAACGGUUCACGCCAACACCAUGAACUAAUGACAGUACUCGCAGAAGAAGCACCGGCUAACUACGUGCCAGCAGCCGCGGGUAAUACGUAGGGUGCAGGCGUCUAAUCGGAAUUACUGGGCGUAAAGCGUGCGCAGGCGGCUCCUUAAGUCAGAUGUGAAAUCCCCGGGCUUAACCUGGGAACUGCGUUUGAAACUGGGAGAUGCUCGAGAUGUGGAAGAGGGGAGCUGGAAUUCCAUGGUGUAGCAGGUGAAAUGCGUAGAGAUCUGGAGGAACACCGAUGGCUGAUAGGCAGCCCCCUGGGCUAACAUUCUGACGCUCAUGCACGAAAGCGUGGGUGAGCAAACAGGAUUAGAUACCCUGGUAGUCCACGCCCUAAACGAUGUCAACUUGGUUGUAGGCGGAAGUCAAUUCGUUGCGUAACGAAGCUAACGCGUGAAGUUGACCGCCUGGGGAGUACGGCCGCAAGGUCUAAAACUCAAAGGAAUUGACGGGGGACCCGCACAAGCGGUGGAUCUAUGUGGAUUAAUUCGAUCGCAACGCGAAAAACCUUACCUACCCUUCGACAGGCUACGGACAGCCCGAUGGAGAGUGGGCUGCCGCAAAGGAGACUGUAGUAACACAGGUGCUGCAUGGCUGUCGUCAGCUCGUGUCGUGAGAUGUUGGGUUAAGUCCCGCAACGAGCGCAACCCUUGUCAUGUAGUUGCUACAUUCUAGUUGGGCACUCUAAUGAGACUGCCGGCUGAUAAACCGGAGGAAGGUGGGGAUGACGUCAAGUCAUCAUGGCCCUUAUGGUCCAGGGCUACACACGUACUACAAUGGCCGGUACAAAGCGCUGCAAACUCGCAAGAGGGAGCUAAUCGCAAAAAACCGGUCUCAGUUCGGAUCGCAGGCUGCAACUCGCCUGCGUGAAGCUGGAAUCGCUAGUAAUGCCGUAUCAGAACGAUGGCGUGAAUACGUUCCCGGGCCUUGUACACACCGCCCGUCACAUCACGAAAGUGGAUUGUACUAGAAGUUCCCCCUAAAGGACCCAAGGUAUGAUUCAUGAUUGGGGGUGAAGUCGUAACAA